AUGUGGGCCCAAAUCCUUCGCAGCAAGUACCUACAGACACAGUCCUUGUCUCAGGUCACAGUCAGGCCAACUGACUCGCCGUUCUGGAAAGGCCUGAUGAAAGUCAAACAAUCUAUGUUUAAUAGGACAAAGGUUGUUAUUGGCAACGGCGCUAGUACACGCUUCUGGGAGGAUACUUGGCUCGGUGAGACACCCUUGGCCAUUCAAUAUCCGUCUUUAUAUCGUAUUGUUCAACGACGUGAGGUGUUCGUUGCUACGGUGUUUCAAUCCAUCCCCCUUAAUAUUCAGUUCAGACGGUCGUUAGUGGGCAAUCGUUGGGAAGAUUGGCUCCGUCUAGUUCGGAGACUAAUGGAUGUCCAUCUUUCUCAACAACCCGAUGAAUUGCGCUGGAAACUGACUAGGUCUGGAGUUUUCACGGUUAAAUCAAUGUAUAUUGAUGUAAUUAAUUCGAGCUCCAUUCCUACCUCCAAGCAUGUUUGGGCGGUCAAAGUUCCUUUGAAAAUAAAAGUGUUUAUGUGGUUUGUCCAUAAACAGGUUAUUUUAACCAAGGAUAACUUGAUUAAGCGUAAUUGGACAGGACCUACGAGGUGUAGCUUCUGCGAUCGGGACGAGACGAUCAAGCAUCUCUUUUUUGAUUGCCCGCUUGCCAGAGUACUUUGGCGGACGGUUCACAUUGCUUUUAAUAUUACUCCACCGAAUUCUGUCACUACGUUAUUUGGGGCAUGGCUCACUGGGAUUGAGCCUGAAUUAGCGAGACAUAUUCGUGUUGGAGUUUGCGCUUUGUUGUGGACUAUCUGGACUUGCAGAAAUGAUUUGGUUUUUAACAGAACAUCACGUAUUCAUUUUUUGCAGGUUAUUUUCCGAGCCACGGCCAUGAUCCGUUCAUGGUCGCUACUCACUCCGAUGGUGGCCAGGGAGCAUUUGGUUACUGGAUCUAUCCGCUGGGAGAUGGUAGCUCGGGAUAUCUUCAACCGGUUUGGAUGGCGGUCAUGUAAUAGGAUAGGCAAUUAG
rnacentral:rRNA from 1 species